rnacentral:rRNA from 1 species
AGCAGCCGCGGUAAUUCCAGCUCCAAUAGCGUAUAUUAAAGUUGUUGCAGUUAAAAAGCUCGUAGUUGAAUUUCGGGAUCAAUUUGCUGGUCGUGCCUUCGGUACGCACUGGUAUUAUUGGUUUCUCCUUUCUGAUGAAUCGCGAUGUCAUUAAUUUGGUGUCGUGGGGAAUCAGGACUGUUACUUUGAAAAAAUUAGAGUGUUUAAAGCAGGCUCACGCUUGAAUACAUUAGCAUGGAAUAAUGAAAUAGGACGUUUGAUUCUAUUUUGUUGGUUUCUAGGAUCGACGUAAUGAUUAAUAGGGAUAGUUGGGGGCAUUAGUAUUCAAUUGUCAGAGGUGAAAUUCUUGGAUUUAUUGAAGACUAACUACUGCGAAAGCAUUUGCCAAGGAUGUUUUCAUUAAUCAAGAACGAAAGUUAGGGGAUCGAAGACGAUCAGAUACCGUCGUAGUCUUAACCAUAAACUAUGCCGACUAGGGAUCGGAUGAUGUUAAUUUUUAUGA